rfam:Schistosoma curassoni strain Dakar, Senegal genome assembly, scaffold: SCTD_scaffold0000387
AUCCAGCUGACGAGUCCUAAAUAAGACGAUACGUGCGUCCUGGAC